ACACAUGCUGUGAUGCUGUAAUUAACAAUAGAGACUUCCAUUGGAAGAAUGUCCUGGGACCCAACAUUCCAGUCUCGCCCUCUCUGAGGUGGGAAAGACCAGGGUUUGAGACUCUGAAUGAGGUCCAAAUGAACCAUUAACAUAACAUCUGCCCAAAGAAAGUUCCAUUCAAAGGAUAAGGAAGACCAGGCGCAUUAGUCUUCUACCCAGAAUCAAGGGAUGAGAGAAGGAGGACCAGUCCCUCAACCCGCUCUAGUGUCAGCAAGCUGCUGUUGCUCUUGAGAAGUCCUUUGUUACAAAAUCCCGUGGCACGGCUUUCUACAGAGAAUUGCCCCCUUUGAAGAUUUGCCCCAGUGGUCGUCGUGUUAGCUGCUUCGGUGAAGAAAUAAAAAGGCAUGCCUUAGAUCAACUAUUACUUAUGAAAGGACACCUAGACAUGAAUUCGAAAGGUUUACAUUGUCAAACCAGGGAAGGAGGCAGAGAAGGAAGAUUGUAUCCCUACCUCGGAACGCAGGGGCUAAGGAGCAAGCCAGAAACGUAAAGCCCGUGGCAUUUCCUAUGAGAGUCUUCUCUGGAAGCCAAAGCAAUCACAGAAUGACAGGCCAAAGCUGGUGCUGCACACCUCAAGCUCAACGUACAUGGAAACCAAAGAGUGGCUCUUUUCAAUUAGAAACAUAAAAUGACUGAUGUUAACCGACAAAAUUUGAGGUGGGCAUUUAUGUUUGGUCUCUCUGGUUCAACAGAGUUCUGACACCAAGCUUAGUGUGGUACGUGGAGCAAAGAAGUUGCUGAAUACUUUCUAUGAGCCACUGGAACACUCACCCCACCCCACAACGAUUCUGCUAGCUCGAGCAAUCUAUUGUUCUACGCAGAAAACAAGAAGUGAAAAUGGUAACUCUUGUGAAAAGUUACUCCUUAAAUUAUGCUUUUCCUUUUUUUUCUAUUCUGAAUGAAAUGAAUGGUGUCUGCCCAUAGAAUUUAUUGAUUAACCUGGGGCACCUUUAUUUCCAUUUCUAAAGUGCUACCACAAAAAAGAUGGAAGGAAAUAUGCCAGACAAAAACAAUUGUUUGAAACAAGUUUUGUGGGAACCAUGUCUUUAGGAAAUGAGAUGUUGAACUUAUUUUGGCAAUUUGUAAGUAACUUUUCAAAAUUUUUUUCCACACUCCAUUAUUAUUAAACUGGAGUAGAACUCUUUCCCUUGAGCUAUCAUUUACUAAAAAUCUCCCUGGAAUUUCAGGCAAUUUAGGGAAAUGUAACUUGCAG
rnacentral:lncRNA from 1 species